UUCCAACGACAGCAUCCAUUUUUCUAGUUUGUUCAGAACCUUCAGUGGCAGCUUUCGCAGCAGCAUCAAGUCCCUUACCCUCAUUUAAAGUUUCAACAAAUGGUUGAAUAGCAUCAAUAAGCGUUCGGAAUCCUUUACGGGCUCUAGUGUAUUUGAAAAGAGCGUCAAGUGCAUACUUGCUUGCAAACGCAAAUGUAUGCACGGAUAAUUCGGAAUCGCCUGACUCAUGAACUCCUUUGGCUAGCGCAGACAAAUAAAUCGAGUAAAGACCACCCGAUGUACCUCCCAUCGAAUCCUCAACAAUAUAGGCCAAAUCGUCAAUACCAUUUACACCAUCAUCCAAUCGAAUCGAUUUAUCAUUAAUAGCCUUUGUGAUGGCCUCUCCACCAUUCACAAGGGUUGUUCCACAAUCACCAUCUCCUGCAAUCGUAUCGUACCAAGUUGUCUUUGGCUCAAAUUCAUUGAUAGCGUCAACGGCAGCUUUUAAAAUUUUAGUAAACAUCUUUGGGUC